CCUACGGGUGGCUGCAGUGGGGAAUUUUGGACAAUGGGCGCAAGCCUGAUCCAGCCAUUCCGCGUGAGUGAAGAAGGCCUUCGGGUUGUAAAGCUCUUUCGCAAGGGAAGAAACCUUAUCCUCUAACAUAGGAUGAGGUUGACGGUACCUUGAUAAGAAGAACCGGCUAACUACGUGCCAGCAGCCGCGGUAAUACGUAGGGUGCGAGCGUUAAUCGGAAUUGCGCGGCGUAUUUUGUAAGUCAGAUGUGAAAUCCCCGAGCUCAACUUGGGAACUGCGUUUGAAACUACAAGACUAGAAUAGGUCAGAGGGGGGUAGAAUUCCACGUGUAGCAGUGAAAUGCGUAGAGAUGUGGAGGAAUAUCAAUGGCGAAGGCAGCCCCCUGGGAUCAUAUUGACGCUCAUGCACGAAAGCGUGGGGAGCAAACAGGAUUAGAUACCCGAGUAGUC
rnacentral:rRNA from 1 species